rnacentral:lncRNA from 1 species
UUCUGCUCCCCAACAAACUGGUACAUUUUGGUUCCCUGAUGCAAAAAAAGGGACAGCAGGUCACAGUUUUGUCUCACAGAUGACAAUGAAAGCUGUCCUCACACGCGUGUAGUCAAAAUCUAUUUGCAGAAACACAUUAAGAUCCGUAGACAUUCUUCACAAGCGAAACUACCACCUGUAAGUCAGAAAGGAGGUGUUUUUUUGUUUUUCAAAUAUCUUUGCUUGAAAUAAAUCUAACAAAUAAGUUAACAAAGCUCCUGCCCCAUCUUACGUCAUUACUGUUUGAUUGUGAUUGCUUCAGAAAUUUUACAGCGGUGUACUGUGGUGUCUUGAGCCCCGCACAGAAGUGGGGUCCUGUUAAAUAAGAGUACGGUUGGAGGAAAGGAUUAGCCAAUUUUAGUAUGUGUGCUGCCGAAGCAAGCAGGAUUAGCCAAAUGGCAACAAGGAGAUCUGUCUUCAGGGCCCAACUGUUGUCUGCCUGGGAGGACGGGAGAAGUUGGCGGACAGAGCCCAGGGGAAGGCGCCUCGGGGGAGCUGUGGUGAUUAGAGGGGCUGGCCUUGGCGAGUCCGGGCCGAGCCCAGCCAAGGUGACGCAGGACGCCUGCCAAGACGGGGCCGAACCCGAGCCAAGCCUGGGCCAGGCCUCUGAAAGAAGCGAUUUGGGAGACAGUCGGCUGGCACACAACACCAACAUGGGGAGUAGUGGUCAGGGUCCUGGACUCAAGGAAGGCUGUGGGUUUGAAGCUUGGCUGAGGAUGUGGCUGUUGUAUCCUUAA